AGAGUUUGAUCCUGGCUCAGGACGAACGCUGGCGGCGUGCUUAACACAUGCAAGUCGAGCGGAAAGGCCCUUCGGGGUACUCGAGCGGCGAACGGGUGAGUAACACGUGAGCAAUCUGCCCCUAGCUUCGGGAUAGCUCCCGGAAACGGGAAUUAAUACCGAAUAUGACCACGGCCGACAUCAGCUGUGGUGGAAAGUUU
rnacentral:rRNA from 1 species